rnacentral:rRNA from 1 species
CUGAGACAAGGACCCAGGCCCUAUGGGGCGCAGCAGGCGAGGAAACUUUGCAAUGUGCGAAAGCACGACAAGGUUAAUCCGAGUGAUUUCUGCUAAAGAAAUCUUUUGCAAGUCAUAAAACCACUAGUGAAUGAGGGGUGGGCAAGUUCUGGUGUCAGCCGCCGCGGUAAAACCAGCACCUCAAGUGGUCAGGAGGAUUAUUGGGCCUAAAGCAUCCGUAGCCGGCUCUGUAAGUUUUCGGUUAAAUCCAUGUGCUCAACGCAUGGGCUGCCGAAAAUACUGCAUAGCUAGGGAGUGGGAGAGGUAGACGGUACUCGGUAGGAAGGGGUAAAAUCCUUUGAUCUAUCGAUGACCACCUGUGGCGAAGGCGGUCUACCAGAACACGUUCGACGGUGAGGGAUGAAAGCUGGGGGAGCAAACCGGAUUAGAUACCCGGGUAGUCCCAGCUGUAAACGAUGCAGACUCGAUGAUGCAUUGGCAUAUAGCCAGUGCAGUGUCGCAGGGAAGCCGUUAAGUCUGCCGCCUGGGAAGUACGUACGCAAGUAUGAAACUAAAGGAGCGGGCGGGGGAGCAG